ACGGCGAGUGAAGCGGCAACAGCUCAAAUUUGAAAUCUGGCUCCUUGCGGGUCCGAGUUGUAAUUUGCAGAGGAUGCUUGGGUGACGGGCCCGUCCGAGUCCCUUGGAACAGGGCGCCUUAGAGGGUGAGAGCCCCGUACGGUCGUGUGCCCGGAGCCGUGUGAAGCUCCUUCGACGAGUCGAGUAGUUUGGGAAUGCUGCUCUAAAUGGGAGGUAAAUUUCUUCUAAAGCUAAAUACCGGCCAGAGACCGAUAGCGCACAAGUAGAGUGAUCGAAAGAUGAAAAGCACUUUGAAAAGAGGGUUAAACAGCACGUGAAAUUGUUGAAAGGGAAGGACUUAUGACCAGACUUGUCUCCGCGGUGAUCAUCCGGUGUUCGCACCGGUGCACUCCCCGCGGUCCAGGCCAGCAUCGGCUCUGGCGGGGGGAUAAAGGCGGUGGGAAUGUGGCUCCCUCGGGAGUGUUAUAGCCUGCCGCAGAAUACCCCCGCCGGGACCGAGGUACGCGCUUCUGCAAGGAUGCUGGCGUAAUGGUCAUCAGUCACCCGUCUUGAAAC
rnacentral:rRNA from 1 species